rnacentral:lncRNA from 1 species
AUGGCGCCCAGGGAGCGGCCCCGCCCCCAAGAUGGCCGCGCCCAUGUGCCGCUGAGGACCGCAGCAGGCGCCACUACCGUUUCUUAUUCUGAGAGCCCAAGGAAGCGGACAGCGCGGCUUUGGGAGACGGAGGUUGCGCAGCAGAGCGGCGCGACAGAGGGCGCUUCGGCCUCGAAGGCGGUGGGACCGGGGCCCCUGACAGCCUCCGCUGGCGCCUCGCCGACGGGAGACGCCACCCCACCCCCACCCCGGCCCCCGCGCCGGCCUGAUGUGCGCCGAAAAUGGUUGCACGAACCGCUGUUGGCGGCGCGAACAAACCGGGGCAGAAUCGCUGCCCGCGACGCGCGCCAUCUUGGGCACUGGCAGCAGCGCCCCCCUCCUUCCCAAAGCCGAUCGUGCGCGUGCGCGGCGCUCCGACCUCGGGCUGCGGGGCGACGGGAGCGGAAGUGCUCCGCCGACCCGAGGGCGGUGCGAGGUCGCGCCGGUUGUUGUUAUCCGCCCGGACUGGCGGGUUCUGGUAGCCAAGUACGGGGAGGCGGAGCGGACACGGGCCGGAGGGGAGGGCGGGGUGAUGGGUUCGCGUCCUCUGAGGGCUCGGGGGCCCGGGGCCGAGGGGUGAGUGUGGGCGGCGCGUCGCGGGCGACGCCGAGUGACACAGUCAGUGACUUUGCUGAGGGCCUAGAUCAGGUUGCAGCGCUGAGACCACUGCUCACCAACUGCAGAUUCCAGCUCACCUGCACCUGAGCUUCCUGGUCUACAGAAGAGCCAGUCUGAGGCCUCGGAAGAUCUCCGCCCUUUGUCCAGGGCAGACCGAGAUGGCCACGGCCCAG